CGUAGGGUGCGAGCGUUAAUCGGAAUUACUGGGCGUAAAGCGUGCGCAGGCGGUUUGGUAAGACAGACGUGAAAUCCCCGGGCUUAACCUGGGAACUGCGUUUGUGACUGCCAGACUAGAGUGUAGCAGAGGGGGGUAGAAUUCCACGUGUAGCAGUGAAAUGCGUAGAUAUGUGGAGGAAUACCGAUGGCGAAGGCAGCCCCCUGGGCUAACACUGACGCUCAUGCACGAAAGCGUGGGGAGCAAACAGGAUUAGAUACCCUGGUAGUCCACGCCCUAAACGAUGUCAACUAGGUGUUGGGGAAGGAGACUUCUUUAGUACCGCAGCUAACGCGAUAAGUUGACCGCCUGGGGAGUACGGUCGCAAGAUUA
rnacentral:rRNA from 1 species